GUGGGGAAUUUUGGACAAUGGGCGCAAGCCUGAUCCAGCAAUGCCGCGUGCAGGAAGAAGGCCUUCGGGUUGUAAACUGCUUUUGUACGGAACGAAACGGUCCUGGCUAAUAUCCGGGGCUAAUGACGGUACCGUAAGAAUAAGCACCGGCUAACUACGUGCCAGCAGCCGCGGUAAUACGUAGGGUGCGGGCGUUAAUCGGAAUUACUGGGCGUAAAGCGUGCGCAGGCGGUGCUGUAAGCCAGGCGUGAAAUCCCCGGGCUCAACCUGGGAAUUGCGCUUGUGACUGCAGUGCUGGAGUGCGGCAGAGGGGGAUGGAAUUCCGCGUGUAGCAGUGAAAUGCGUAGAUAUGCGGAGGAACACCGAUGGCGAAGGCAAUCCCCUGGGCCUGCACUGACGCUCAUGCACGAAAGCGUGGGGAGCAAACAGGAUUAGAUACCCGGGUAGUCC
rnacentral:rRNA from 1 species